GCUUUUGGUUCAGUGGUAGAUGCUCGCCUGCCACGCGGGUGGCCUGGGUUCGAUUCCCGGCCGAUGCA